GACGAACGCUGGCGGCGUGCCUAAUACAUGCAAGUAGAACGCUGAAGGAGGAGCUUGCUUCUCUGGAUGAGUUGCGAACGGGUGAGUAACGCGUAGGUAACCUGCCUGGUAGCGGGGGAUAACUAUUGGAAACGAUAGCUAAUACCGCAUAAUAGUAGAUGUUGCAUGACAUUUGCUUAAAAGGUGCAAUUGCAUCACUACCAGAUGGACCUGCGUUGUAUUAGCCAGUUGGUGGGGUAACGGCUCACCAAGGCGACGAUACAUAGCCGACCUGAGAGGGUGAUCGGCCACACUGGGACUGAGACACGGCCCAGACUCCUACGGGAGGCAGCAGUAGGGAAUCUUCGGCAAUGGACGGAAGUCUGACCGAGCAACGCCGCGUGAGUGAAGAAGGUUUUCGGAUCGUAAAGCUCUGUUGUAAGAGAAGAACGAGUGUGAGAGUGGAAAGUUCACACUGUGACGGUAUCUUACCAGAAAGGGACGGCUAACUACGU
rnacentral:rRNA from 1 species